rnacentral:rRNA from 1 species
CUGCCCCUGUCAGGGGGACAACCCGCCGAAAGGCGGGCUAAACCCGCGUACAUGCCACCGGGGCAUCCCGGAGGCAGGAAAGGCUUCGGCCGGACAGGGAUGGGCAUGCGGCGCAUUAGGCAGUAGGCGGGGUAACGGCCCACCUAACCGACGAUGCGUAGGGGUUCUGAGAGGAAGGUCCCCCACACUGGUACUGAGACACGGACCAGACUCCUACGGGAGGCAGCAGUGAGAAAUAUUGGUCAAUGGUCGGGAGACUGAACCAGCCAAGCCGCGUGAGGGAUGAAGGUACAGAGUAUCGUAAACCUCUUUUGUCAGGGAACAAAGACUGGGACGCGUCCCCGGAUGAGUGUACCUGAAGAAAAAGCAUCGGCUAACUCCGUGCCAGCAGCCGCGGUAAUACGGAGGAUGCGAGCGUUAUCCGGAUUUAUUGGGUUUAAAGGGUGCGCAGGCGGUCUGUUAAGUCAGCGGUCAAAGCCCGGGGCUCAACCCCGGCCCGCCGUUGAAACUGGCAGUCUCGAGUUGGAGAGAAGUAUGCGGAAUGCGCGGUGUAGCGGUGAAAUGCAUAGAUAUCGCGCAGAACUCCGAUUGCGAAGGCAGCAUGCCGGCUCCACACUGACGCUGAGGCACGAAAGCGUGGGCAUCGAACAGGAUUAGAUACCCUGGUAGUCCACGCAGUAAACGAUGA